rnacentral:rRNA from 1 species
CCCUUAGAUGUUCUGGGCUGCACGCGCGCUACACUGAACGGAUCAGCGCGUUUUCCCUUCCCGAGAGGGACGGGUAACCUGCUGAACCCCGUUCGUGGUAGGGAUCGGGGCUUGCAAUUAUUCCCCGUGAACCAGGAAUGCCCAGUAAGUGCAAGUCAUAAGCUUGCGUUGAUUACGUCCCUGCCCUUUGUACACACCGCCCGUCGCUACUACCGAUUGAACGUUUUAGUGAGGUACUCGGACUGAGCCUCAGAAGAUUCACGUCUUUUGUGCUGCUCGGGAAGAUUCCCAAACUUGAGCGUUUAGAGGAAGUAAAAGUCGUAACA